rnacentral:lncRNA from 1 species
UUUUUUUUUUUUUUUUUUUUUUUGAGUGGGACAAGAAUACAAUCUGCGUUAUAAAGCCAUUUCCGUUAUAUUGACAGUUAUUCAUUCCUAAAAGAAAUAUAUCUAAUAUUUAUAAACGAUAUUACUGAUUUAUGUAUAUGGAUUUAGUAGUGACUCCGAAAUCCAUUUUUAUGCAUUUUAGUCAACAUACUGUUAUGUACUACAACAAAUAAAUGCAAAGCGCCAAAUAUAGAGAAUAUAUAUGGUCUUAUGUGUAUGCGGAUUACAGUUGCGCCAUAUCUUUUAGCUACCUUGAAUGGGAUGUAAAUGUUUAAAUAAAAAAUACAUUAAUUUACAGUAUUUCAGUAAAAUUAAACAUUUGUAAUGGAUAAUUUGUUUGACGCCGUACACAUUCGUUAAGUUGCCAGAUUUCAGUCUGUGCGGUGCGUUUGGAGAUUCCAGCGCUUUUAAAGAGACUUUUUUUUGGGGGGGAGGGUAGACGAGUUACAUCAUGUUCGCGUUGUUAUUUAAUUUUAGACAACUCCCGCGUAAUAUCCGAAAUCACACUCUGUCUAGAUGCAGCAGCGUAAAAACAUUUUUUGCAUUCUCGUCAUACAAGUGCAGCAUUUACCAAGAUCUACGAACUAAAAAAAAAAAAAAAAAAAAAAAAAAAAAGAGGCCUGUCAAGAUUUUCUGUAAUUUUUAAUUCCAGGUUUGCAUCAAUUAAAGUGCACUUUCCCUAAAAGCUAUCAGCUCUUUGGAAGGUUACAAGGUCGCGUCAUUCUUGUAUCUCAUCGCUUCCUGUUGAGAACAAGGAAGCAUUCGAUCGUUAUUGAAUUGGUUGUGGCCGAACUCCACAAACUUUCAUUAAAGGAAUAUUCCGUUGACGUUUUGAUGUUGCGUCUUCCAUCGGAAAGACUUUUCCUAGUUAUGGCGUAAUUUGUUGGAGGAAAAAUGACGUUAAUAUACGCAGAGCUGUGUCCUCGUUAUAUCCGCAUGUCCUUUUCGUUAACGUACGUCAACGCGGCAUGACGUCCUUUUUUUUAGAUGGGGAAAGAUGUUGUGAUGUGAUUUUGCACUGGAUUUUCCUAGACUAACGGUUUAGUGCAAGAAAAUAUUAACCAAGUAUAUUAUUAAGAAGAACGUAUUGCGUUAGAAUUUUGUGUUUGCUUGAAUGUUGUAGAUAAAAAAUAUAUUUUAAGGUUAACGAAGAAGAAUAUUAUUAAUGCAAGAGGAAUAAUUUAUAACAUAUAGUCUCACUUCUUUGGGAAGCAUGCACCAAGUAAAAAAACUAAGCAAAUUAUCGCUGUACCUUGUUAAUCAAACAGAGGACGCAAGAAAGGUGUAAAAGACUGUUUUAUUAAGAACUCAGAUAAUUGAAUGGAAGGCACUCCUUAUGCUUACAAAACUAGCCAGCAUUUAUGACGUUACUCAAAAAGAAGGAAUUUCAAAUUAAAACUAAGGUAUUUUUAGAAGUUCCGAACUAGCACAUUUAUUAUUCUUUGCCUGUAAUGUACAGAUCCUAUAGUAACCUGUAGAUUUUCCGAAUGGAGUGGGGCAAAGAUAGGUUUUGGAGAAGAAAUUUCACAUUUGAAAAAUCAUUUUUCGUGUAUAUUAUUCUGAUUAAAUAAAAAUUUAUUUCUAAGUAUCAGA